rnacentral:rRNA from 1 species
AUUGAACGCUGGCGGCAGGCUUAACACAUGCAAGUCGAGCGGAGCGAGGGUGCUUGCACCUUAGCUUAGCGGCGGACGGGUGAGUAAUGCUUAGGAAUCUGCCCAUUAGUGGGGGACAACAUUCCGAAAGGAAUGCUAAUACCGCAUACGCCCUACGGGGGAAAGCAGGGGAUCUUCGGACCUUGCGCUAAUAGAUGAGCCUAAGUCGGAUUAGCCAGUUGGUGGGGUAAAGGCCUACCAAGGCGACGAUCUGUAGCGGGUCUGAGAGGAUGAUCCGCCACACUGGGACUGAGACACGGCCCAGACUCCUACGGGAGGCAGCAGUGGGGAAUAUUGGACAAUGGGCGGAAGCCUGAUCCAGCCAUGCCGCGUGUGUGAAGAAGGCCUUUUGGUUGUAAAGCACUUUAAGCGAGGAGGAGGAGCUCUAGGUUAAUACCCUAGAUGCUUGGACGUUACUCGCAGAAUAAGCACCGGCUAACUCUGUGCCAGCAGCCGCAGUAACAC